GUUUUCGGUCCAGAGCCGGCCCCUGGCAAGGCAAAGACAUGUCCAGUGCUUGAGAGAUGCGCAUUCGGCUGUCGACUUCAGAACCAAGAAUCUCCUACCCGGUGUCGCGACACCUCUGAACUGCCGCUUUCCACCGCCAACCAGAAGCCCUAGGAAGCCGAAUAAACACGAUCUCCAAUAAACAUCUCUAAUGAGGGAGGAGGCCCGAGGAUGACGGGGUUUGAUUUAUGACUGGAGGAGAAGGUCCACUUCCCACUGCGAAGCGGGCAACUUGCUUGCCGCCCAGCUCCGGAGAAAGGAAACCGCGGAGGAGAGAACCAAGGCCCAGCAAAAGUCAAGCCCCUGAGCUACUUGGAGGCAGCCUUGGAUUUGGGAGCACCCAUCGCGAGCAGCAGAGAGGCGGCGCGGGGCCCGAGCCGGACGCAGGCCGGAGCCUAGGCGGUUACCUGGGAGCGGAGGGCGGGGAGGCAGGUGAGCCUGGCGGCGCGGGUUCCCACACGUCUCACCGCCGCUCGGCAGGGGAAGUGGCAGAUCUGACAGCCGCUUUCUACGCGAGGACCUGCCCCAGAGUUUAA
rnacentral:lncRNA from 1 species